rnacentral:rRNA from 1 species
GAUGAACGCUGGCGGCGUGCCUAAUACAUGCAAGUCGAGCGAACAGACGAGGAGCUUGCUCCUCUGACGUUAGCGGCGGGCGGGUGAGUAACACGUGGAUAACCUACCUAUAAGACUGGGAUAACUUCGGGAAACCGGAGCUAAUACCGGAUAAUAUAUUGAACCGCAUGGUUCAAUAGUGAAAGACGGUUUUGCUGUCACUUAUAGAUGGAUCCGCGCCGCAUUAGCUAGUUGGUAAGGUAACGGCUUACCAAGGCAACGAUGCGUAGCCGACCUGAGAGGGUGAUCGGCCACACUGGAACUGAGACACGGUCCAGACUCCUACGGGAGGCAGCAGUAGGGAAUCUUCCGCAAUGGGCGAAAGCCUGACGGAGCAACGCCGCGUGAGUGAUGAAGGUCUUCGGAUCGUAGAACUCUGUUAUUAGGGAAGAACAAAUGUGUAAGUAACUAUGCACGUCUUGACGGUACCUAAUCAGAAAGCCACGGCUAACUACGUG